rnacentral:pre_miRNA from 1 species
CGGGUCUUUGCGGGCGAGGUGAGGGCUUUCGGUUCAACUGGCCUUCAAAGUCCCAGU